AGAGUUUGAUCAUGGCUCAGACGAACGCUGGCGGCGUGCUUAACACAUGCAAGUCGAGCGGUAAGGCCCUUUCGGGGGUACACGAGCGGCGAACGGGUGAGUAACACGUGGGUAACCUGCCCUCAGCUCUGGGAUAAGCCCGGGAAACUGGGUCUAAUACCGGAUAUGACUCCGCAUCGCAUGGUGUGGGGUGGAAAGCCUUGUGCGGCUGAGGAUGGGCCCGCGGCCUAUCAGCUUGUUGGUGGGGUAGUGGCCUACCAAGGCGACGACGGGUAGCCGGCCUGAGAGGGCGACCGGCCACACUGGGACUGAGACACGGCCCAGACUCCUACGGGAGGCAGCAGUGGGGAAUAUUGCGCAAUGGGCGAAAGCCUGACGCAGCGACGCCGCGUGAGGGAUGACGGCCUUCGGGUUGUAAACCUCUUUCAGCUCCGACGAAGCCUUCGGGUGACGGUAGGGGCAGAAGAAGCACCGGCCAACUACGUGCCAGCAGCCGCGGUAAUACGUAGGGUGCAAGCGUUGUCCGGAAUUAUUGGGCGUAAAGAGCUCGUAGGCGGUUUGUCGCGUCGACUGUGAAAACUCAGGGGGCUCAACUCCGAGCUUGCAGGUUGAUACGGGCAGACUAGAGUUCGG
rnacentral:rRNA from 1 species